GACAGAGGUCCCGAGCGUUAGGCGGAAUUACUGGGCGUAAAGGGCGAGUAGGCGGUUCUACAAGUCAGAUGUGAAAUCUCCCGGCUUAACUGGGAGGGGUCAUUUGAAACUGUCGGACUAGAGUGAAGCAGAGGCUAGCGGAAUUCCCGGUGUAGUGGUGAAAUGCGUAGAUAUCUGGAGGAACACCGGUGGCGAAGGCGGCAUCCUGGACCGGCAUUGACGCUGAGGCGCGAAAGCCAGGGGAGCAAACGGG
rnacentral:rRNA from 1 species